UCCGCUCGUGCUCGCCACAUCAAAGCCUGAUUAUCGUCGUCUCCCUCGAUCGAUCUCCACCACCUGAGCUCGCCAUGGCCACGACGGCGUCGGCGCGCGCGCACCAGCAGCACGGCGGGAAGCAGCAGCAGUACCAGCCGCUGCGGCGCAUUGAGGGGCUGAGCCUGAGGUCCGCGCUCCGCAGCGACCCGCGCGUCCCCGCGCUGGCCGCGGCCGCGCUCCUCGUCCCGCUCGGCGCCGCGCUGCUGGCCCUCUCCGGCCUCUUCCUGCUGGCCACGCUCGCCGGCGUCGCGCUCGCGGCGCCUCUCGUCCUGCUCUUCAGUCCGGUGCUCGUGCCCGCCGCGCUGGGCGCCGCGCUGGCCGUCGCGGGGCUCGCCGCCGCCGGCGCGCUCGCCGUCUCGGGGCUCUCGGCGCUCGUCUGGGUCGUGGGAUACGUCCAGAGGGGCCUGGCGCAGGGCGACUCCGCCCGGGUGGGCGGGAUGGUGGUGCAGCCGUUGGACAGCGGGAAGCGGCACGGCAGACAGGGGGCGCCGGCCUUCGUCGGGCACAGAGUCGGGGACGACGCCGGGGACGCUCUGGGCACCACCAAAGCGCGGGACGUCGCCAGCGCCUAACUAGAGCUGCACGGGUGAACAUAUGUACUUCCGCGUCGUGCGUAUGCGUUUGAUUUGUCGAAAUCUGAUGUACGUAUGCGUGUUCAUAGUUUCAUCUAGUACUCUAGUUUGAUCUGCGGAGAUGUAGAAUAAAGAGUAUCAUUGGUAAUAGAACAUCAAUAAUGUGCGGACGGGUAACGACGGAUGCUCAAAUACUUUCUACUCCCUCAGUCCGGGAAUAAGUGUACUUAUAUCAGUCGUCCUAAGUCAAAGUUUUAUAAUUUUGAUUAACUUAUUAGAAAAAGGUAAUAACACUAGCGAUGUCUAAACUUGCCUUCG
rnacentral:lncRNA from 1 species